rnacentral:rRNA from 1 species
GACGUAGGGUGCGAGCGUUAAUCGGAAUUACUGGGCGUAAAGCGUGCGCAGGCGGUUUUGUAAGCCAGAUGUGAAAUCCCCGGGCUUAACCUGGGAAUGGCAUUUGGGACUGCAAGGCUGGAGUGUGGCAGAGGAGACUGGAAUUCCUGGUGUAGCAGUGAAAUGCGUAGAUAUCAGGAGGAAUACCGAUGGCGAAGGCAGGUCUCUGGGCUGACACUGACGCUCAUGCACGAAAGCGUGGGGAGCAAACAGG